rnacentral:rRNA from 1 species
AUGAUGGGUGAGAAACAAACAAAAAUCUGGCUUGGCGAAGUUCUCCAUGUCAGGUUUGAUGAAGACAUUUUGGUAGCAGACCUCCUAGGUGACGGGGAAUUGCUAUUUCAAGUUUCCAAAGUGAUAUGGAAGAGGCUACUCAGAAAGAACAAAGAACAACUCAAGCAAUCAAAAGUAUAUAUUUAUGAGAGGCCAUCUUUUGGUAAAACUAACGGGAAAUAUACUCCAUAUCCAAAAGUAGACUCGUUUCUAAAGGUAUGCCAAACCCUUGGAUUAGCUGGAAUUGAUUUGUUUACCCCUUCUGAUGUGGUCGAGAAAAGAAAUGUUCGGAAAGUGUGUAUGUGCAUACGCUCACUGUCUAAAAAGGCUGGCAUGAUGCAGCUGAACGUGCCUGAUUUUGAUGUUGUAACCCACACAAUAGCCAUGCCCAACUAUAUUGUUGGAGGCAUCCGCAGAAGUCUGGAGCAGCCACAAUGCAGUUCAUCUUGUUCGAGUGGGCACAGUCCGCGUGCCAUUUCUAAAAGCAUAUUUGAAGGACAGAAUGAUGAACAAAGCGACCGACAUUAUGACUCUGAUGAAGCAGAGAGCAGUCUCUUUGUGCUAGGGCCUCAGGAUUCUCUUGAUGACGACAAACUUUCCGAGCUUUUGCAGUUGGGCGAUGCCCCCAAGGAAGAAAGAGAAGGCUAUGGAGACAGUGGGCAUGAAAUGCCCGAGGAGAAGUCGCUAGCCGAAUCAGCGGGAUCACUUGAAGCUGGUGUUAUGGAUGCUGAUACUAGGAAUUCGACUCCUUUUCAUGAGAACCUACUCUCACCAACAGAUCGGUGUUCAACAACUAGAACAAAUAAAUGUUCACUAAGUUCAGAAGAAUCAGACUCCAUAAACAGUUAUUUAGCUUCCGACAGUUGCAAGAAUGAUUUGGACGGUCCUCCUGUCAAAGUGUCCGAAAGGAUUCAUGAUGGACACGUCGAACCUUCACAUGAUUCUGUUCAGGGAAAUGGGAAAAUAUUCACUGACCAUCCAGAAAAAGAUGACAGCGCAAGCCAAGAGCUGAAACAUGAAUUCAGCACUAAGGAUCACAUGGACGCUUGCAAAUCUGACGAACCGGGAACAACUGAAAGCAACAGCAAUGCUCAGGGGACCGGGAACAAUGCUCCCAAAUCAGGGAAAGGGGUGCUGAAGUCAGUUGCUGGAGGGAUCACGCUCAUCGGCGCCGUGUUCUUAGUAGCUCAUCUCAGGAGGAGCAAGGGGAUAAGCUUUACAACUAUUUUGCCUUCACUUUCUGAGAAAUCAAUUCAGAGCGACUCGAGGGCGAACAAUGUGGACAACGGAAAGACAACCGAGGUGUAUCCAGGCGGCUGGCUCAAGGUUUGA